rnacentral:hammerhead_ribozyme from 1 species
AGCCGAAACGCGAAACGAACUCGCGUCGUCGAUCGGUGGUUCGAUCGGCCUGACGAUGGCAGCCAGAG